AAUACAAUAAAAAAAAAGAAACACAAGUAUUGCAUGUUCUCAUUUAUUUGUGGGAUCUACAAAUCAAAUCAACUGAACGCAAGAAUAUAGAGAGUAGAAGGCUGGUUACGAGGCCCUGGAAGAGAGGAUUUGUAGGGGAGGUGAGGAU